rnacentral:rRNA from 1 species
GACGUAGGGCGCGAGCGUUGUCCGGAUUUAUUGGGCGUAAAGAGCUCGUAGGCGGCUUGUUGCGUCGUCCGUGAAAACCUGGGGCUCAACUCCAGGCUUGCGGUCGAUACGGGCAGGCUAGAGUUCGGUAGGGGAGACUGGAAUUCCGGGUGUAGCGGUGAAAUGCGUAGAUAUCCGGAGGAACACCGGUGGCGAAGGCGGCUUCCUGGACCGACACUGACGCUGAGGCGCGAAAGCUAGGGUAGCAAACGGG